AUUAAUGUCUAUGUUAUGGGAAGUUCUAGCGUAAUGAUCUAGUGAGCCUAACGUGAAGAUCCUCAAGCCAUGGCCCAGAGAUCCUAGGUGGUUGGGGGGAGGGGUCUGACAACACAGCAGCAACAAUAAGCGUACAUUUGAGACAGGAAGUAUUUCUUUAUUAUAUAUAUUUAUUUAAGUUGACGUUGGACUUAGUUGGUCUGCAAUAAGGUGAUCCCAUCUGUCACCGAACCAGGUCUAGACCAAUUUCAAAACAGAUACAUACCAGGUCUAAAUCAUCUUCAAACCAGGUCCAAACAAGGUUUAAAUAAUUUCUAAGGAACAACAUAUCUGAUAAAUUUCAAAGCAGACGGAUCAGAUUCUACUGAAGUAUAAAGAACGACAAACACACACACACACACAUAAACACAUAAACACAUGUACAGUCAGCCAGUGCUGCAGACACAGACUGGCAUUAACAACAUAUGGUAGUGUGUAUAAAAAGCAUAUUAAGUGCCAGAAACAAGAUUAGACCCAUAAACAACCACAUUCCCAAUGUUUAGCAGUUACGAAACCAGAAGAAAAUAUUUCUAAAAACAAUAGGUUGUCUCGCAAUAAAACAUUCCAUGAUGCAAUCCAGGCAGCAAAAACCCCGCCCACCCAGGCUUCCUGGAAUGCUGUCUGAGUAUAUUAACUGAGGACUGGUGAGGAAGAGGUUGAUGCAAGGGUUGGAUGGAGUAUAAAGGGGUUUUAGGGGGUUUGAGGAGGAGGGAGUGUAGGAGGAGUGGAGGCUUACUGGAAGCCUGCUGGAAACCAUUAACCGAGGGCUGUGUGAGGAAGUUGGAUGAAGAGGAAUAUAAGGAGCAGGGGAGAGUGAGGGAGUGUAGAUGGGCCAGGCAGAUUGGAGGGUAAGGGGUUCUGGUCCAGAGUGACUAAAGGGGUUAAAGGGUUCAGGAUGGAGGGUAAAGGGGUUGGAGAAGGAUGAGGGGUUGGAAGAGGAGAGAGAGAUUGGGUGAAGGCUUAGUGGAUGGCUGCUGGAAAACAAUAACUGAGGGGUGUGUGAAGAAGGUGGAUGAGGAGGAUGAGGAGGAAGAGGAGUAGCCAGGGAGUGUGACACAGUGUGGGGGGGAGGAGGAGGAGGUUUCUUGGCCCCAGGAGGUAGUGGUGAAGGAUCUGAUGCCAACCUUUCAGUCCAAGCCAAGUUACGUGUAGGCUGCCAUGUUAUCAGUUCAUGUUAACAGCAUCAGGGUCACGUAACGGGUCUGUCACAGGUAGAAAGGGACCGGGCCUGAAGAAUGAGAAGAUGCACCACUGCACCACGACACUGUUGGCAUCAGUCUGCAAGAUGCUUUAGAUAUAAAUGUGUUAGGUUUCUUUAAAGGGCAUGAAAUACAAAAAAAUCGGACAUGUUUUAAAUAUUAAGGUUUAGGGUAAGGGAAUCUGGUUCAGGCUGAUGGUGGGUUAGGGGUUCUGGUCCAGGCUGACCGGAGGGUUAGGGGUUCUGGUGGUCCAGGCUGACCGGAGGGUUAGGGGUUCUGGUGGUCCAGGCUGACUGGAGGGUUAAGGGUUCUGGUCCAGGCUGACUGGAGGGUUAAGGGUUCUGGUCCAGGCUGACUGGAGGGUUAGGGGUUCUGGUCCAGGCUGACUGGAGGGUUAAGGGUUCUGGUCUAGGCUGAUGGAGGGUUAGGGGUUCUGGUCCAGGCUGACCGGAACAUUAGGGGUUCUGGUCUAGGCUGAUGGAGGGUUAGGGGUUCUGGUCUAGGCUGAUGGAGGGUUAGGGGUUCUGGUCCAGGCUGACCGGAGGGUUAGGGGUUCUGGUCUAGGCUGACUGGAGGGUUAGGGGUUCUGGUCUAGGCUGAUGGAGGGUUAGGGGUUCUGGUCCAGGCUGACUGGAGGGUUAGGGGUUCUCGUGGUCUAGGCUGACUGGAGGGUUAAGGGUUCUGGUCCAGGCUGACUGGAGGGUUAGGGGUUCUGGUCCAGGCUGACUGGAGGGUUAGGGGUUCUGGUCUAGGCUGACUGGAGGGUUAGGGGUUCUGGUCCAUGCUGACCGGAACUUUAGGGGUUCUGGUCCAGGCUGAUCGGAACGUUAGGGGUUCUGGUCUAGGCUGACCCGGGCCGUGCUGUAGAAGGUGAUCCUUCCGCUACAGGCGACCUGGAGGUUCACCGUGGUGGCAUAGUUGGUCCUAGGAAGCCCCGGGUGGGCUGUGAUCUGUGUUUGAACCAGAGUGUGGGGAUCUGCUUGCUGGGUGGUGGGGUUGUGGUUGGUGUGGUCGGUGGAGGGCGUGGUGGUGGGAGUUUGGGCCAGGGAAGGGCGGGCUACAUAGGCACAGAACAGCUGACUGCGACAGCUUCCCUUCUCCAGCUCUCCCUGCUCUUGGGGAGAGGAGAAGGAGGGGGAAGGAGGGUGAGCAUAGGAGAGAGGAGCAGAAGAAGAGGAGAAGGGGGCUGUUGUGACCUCAGUCUCUGGACUCUGGUCGAGGAGCUCCUGAUCGUCUCGCUGGGGAUGCCUCCCAGCCUGGGUGGCCCUGUCUGGGCUGAGCCUGCUGGGCGAGACCGGAGGCUGGAGGUAGGAGGAGCAGGCCUUGAUAGGGCUCCUGAGGUUCAGGGAACUUGGGGCAGGAGUAGAGGAGGAGGUGUCCGGUGUAUAGGAGGUCGGGUAGGGUGCAGAGCAUGGGUUCCGUGGCCGGGGUGCAGCGAUGUGAUCGGUCCAGGCGUUUGACGGAACACCAAUCGGAGGCGGGGACAGAAUGCGGGGGCAGCAGGAGCCGGAGCCAGUAACAGACUUCAUCAAGAUGGCCUGCUCCAGGCUGAGGCCCGUGGGCGGGGUAAGAACCAGGGGAGUGGAAGAGUCCUGGGGAGGAAUGGGAGUGAAGGAGUCAUGGUGAGGAGCUGGAGAGCAGAGAAAGGCGGAAGGGGAUUGGACCCGCGAGCCUGGCUCGGAGGCAGAGAAGGGCCGUGCAACCCGGUUGUGAUGGCCGGACCAGAGAGCAUCAUGGGAAGGCUGUGUUGCAGCGACGCUGGCGGGAGAACAAGAGACAUUCCUCUGGCUUGCUAGCCAUCCACCGCUUCCACUAGCACCGCUGGCACUUCUGUGGCUGACCCCUACAUCUGCCAUGCUAUCCCUGCAAUGCCUGUGGUUGUUGCUGUGGUUGCUGUUUAUAUGAACGCAGGAAUCUGAUAGGCCGACAGAUCUGGAGUGGAGGAGGGAGUUGGAGGAGGGGAGGCUGGGGAGGGGGAGUGAGGG
ensembl:lncRNA